AACAUCUAAGUACCCCGAGGAAAAGAAAUCAACCGAGAUUCCGAAAGUAGCGGCGAGCGAAAUUGGACUAGCCCUUAAGCUUUACACGCGUUAGACGAACGGUCUGGAAAGUCCGACGAUACAGGGUGAUAGUCCCGUAGUUGACGACGUGUGUUCAGUGAAAUCGAGUAGGGCGGGACACGUGAUAUCCUGUCUGAAUAUGGGGGGACCAUCCUCCAAGGCUAAAUACUACUGACUGACCGAUAGUGAACCAGUACCGUGAGGGAAAGGCGAAAAGAACCCCUGUGAGGGGAGUGAAAUAGAACCUGAAACCGUGUACGUACAAGCAGUAGGAGCACCUUCGUGGUGUGACUGCGUACCUUUUGUAUAAUGGGUCAGCGACUUAUAUUCAGUGGCAAGGUUAACCAUCUAGGGGAGCCGUAGGGAAACCGAGUCUUAACUGGGCGUUCAGUCUCUGGAUAUAGACCCGAAACCAGGUGAUCUAGCCAUGGGCAGGUUGAAGGUUGAGUAACAUCAACUGGAGGACCGAACCGACUAAUGUUGAAAAAUUAGCGGAUGACUUGUGGCUAGGGGUGAAAGGCCAAUCAAACCUGGAGAUAGCUGGUUCUCCCCGAAAGCUAUUUAGGUAGCGCCUCGGACGAAUACUACUGGGGGUAGAGCACUGUUAAGGCUAGGGGGUCAUCCCGACUUACCAACCCUUUGCAAACUCCGAAUACCAGUAAGUACUAUCCGGGAGACACACGGCGGGUGCUAACGUCCGUCGUGGAGAGGGAAACAACCCAGACCGCCAGCUAAGGUCCCAAAUUACUACUAAGUGGGAAACGAUGUGGGAAGGCUCAGACAGCCAGGAUGUUGGCUUAGAAGCAGCCAUCAUUUAAAGAAAGCGUAAUAGCUCACUGGUCGAGUCGGCCUGCGCGGAAGAUGUAACGGGGCUAAGUAGUAAACCGAAGCUGCGGCAAUAUACUUUUGUAUAUUGGGUAGGGGAGCGUUCUGUAAGCGGUUGAAGGUGUGUGGUAACGCAUGCUGGACGUAUCAGAAGUGCGAAUGCUGACAUGAGUAACGAUAAAGGGGGUGAAAAACCUCCUCGCCGGAAGACCAAGGGUUCCUGUCCAACGUUAAUCGGGGCAGGGUAAGUCGACCCCUAAGGCGAGGCCGAAAGGCGUAGUCGAUGGGAAACGGGUUAAUAUUCCCGUACUUCUUACAAUUGCGAUGGGGGGACGGAGAAGGCUAGGUGGGCCUGGCGACGGUUGU
rnacentral:rRNA from 1 species